GUGAUCAAGUGUUUGAAAUUACUAAUCUCAUACCUAGUAUGGGAUGGGGAAGCCUAGUACCUGAUUGAACUGGGGCGUGGCAUACUCCCCCGGCUGUCCUUGGAACAUCGUUCCCAUGGUGCAUCAUGUGGGUGCAAGUGCGGUCAUAGUACGGCAGAGGCCGGGAUUAUGGAGCAUUGCAUGCCAAAGGCAAUUGGCCCUGACACGUGCCUAAGGGAUCGAUGGGGACGG
rnacentral:lncRNA from 1 species